rnacentral:tRNA from 1 species
AAGAAAUUAGUUAAAUUUAUAACAUUAGCUCGUCAAACUAAAAUUAUCAAUUGAUAUUUCUUU